CAGCAGCCGCGGGAAAACGGAGGGUGCAAGCGUUAAUCGGAAUUACUGGGCGUAAAGCGCACGCAGGCGGUCUGACAAGUCAGAUGUGAAAUCCCCGGGCUUAACCUGGGAACUGCAUUUGAAACUGUCAGGCUGGAGUCUUGUAGAGGGGGGUAGAAUUCCAGGUGUAGCGGUGAAAUGCGUAGAGAUCUGGAGGAAUACCGGUGGCGAAGGCGGCCCCCUGGACAAAGACUGACGCUCAGGUGCGAAAGCGUGGGGAGCAAACAGGAUUAGAUACCCGCGUAGUCCCUGUCUCUUAUAC
rnacentral:rRNA from 1 species